AAGGCAACUUCAGGGUGCACAAUAGAGUCUUUGGGUGCUGAUCAGAUACUCCUCAAGAGAAAACAUGUAAACAAUAUUUCCAUAACUCAGAUUAGAUCUGGGAAAAUGAGCAUGCAAAAAGGAUAAAAGAAAGAAGAAAGGAAUGCAGUCACUACAGAUGACAUUUUAAAAAGACUUCAUAAAGGCACAAGAUGGGUUCAGAAGCAUGAAGAGAUAUGACCUCAGUGAUCCUGGAUCCUGAUGUAAAUAAAGAAGGCAUACCAGCUGUCUUAGCCGAGAGUAGAGGAACCAUAUGCACAAAGAAGCCUGCUCAAGCCAGUAGAGUAACAGCAUUGGGUAAUUUGAUUUCUGAGCAGAGAUUAGAUAAUUGUCUUAGAUAGGACUUUGGGAAUGGUCACAGGAGCUGAAGCAUCAUCCUGUUGAUAUGGUCUUCAGGGAAUAUUGGGUUUACGUGGGUGUUAUUUGGCCACUGAGUCACAAAGCAUGGGUUGUAGGGCUGGCCUUAGUCCAGGAUCCAGGCAAAAUUAUGUAUUUAUCCUUAUAAAUUGUGGUACUCAGUAUAACCAUUGCCUUGAUUUAUGGUCACGCCUCA